rnacentral:rRNA from 1 species
UACAGAGGUCUCAAGCGUUGUUCGGAUUCAUUGGGCGUAAAGGGUGCGUAGGUGGCAUGGUAAGUUGGAUGUGAAAUCCCGGGGCUCAACCCCGGAACUGCAUUCGAUACUGCUGCGCUAGAGUACUGGAGAGGAGAUUGGAAUUUACGGUGUAGCAGUGAAAUGCGUAGAUAUCGUAAGGAAGACCAGUGGCGAAGGCGGAUCUCUGGACAGUUACUGACACUGAGGCACGAAGGCCAGGGGAGCAAACGGG